rnacentral:rRNA from 1 species
GCUUGUCUCAAAGAUUAAGCCAUGCAUGUCUAAGUAUAAACAAAUCUAUACUGUGAAACUGCGAAUGGCUCAUUAUAUCAGUUAUAGUUUCUUUGAUGGUUCUUACUACUUGGAUAACCGUAGUAAUUCUAGAGCUAAUACAUGCAUGAACCCCCGACUUUUGAAGGGGUGUAUUUAUUAGAUUGAAACCAAUGCGGGUUCCCCGGUAUUUGGUGAUUCAUAAUAACUUUGCGAAUCGCAUGGCCUUGCGCCGGCGAUGAAUCAUUCAAAUUUCUGCCCUAUCAACUUUCGAUGGUAAGGUAUUGGCCUACCAUGGUUACAACGGGUAACGGGGAAUUAGGGUUCGGUUCCGGAGAGGGCGCCUGAGAAAUGGCGACCACAUCCAAGGAAGGCAGCAGG